GGGAAGGGAAGGGAAGGGAAGGGAAAUUAUUGCACAAAAGCCCAAGAGCGAGUGUGGGCCUAACCUUGAAGCAGAGGGCAUUUUAAAACAAGAAAAGUGACCUAUAACUAGGUGCCAAGCUCAAGAGUUUCUGAGACUUUCAGAGUUUACCCCAGGACCAGCGCUUUGGAGUCGGUAAGUGGAGAGUUAUUUAGUUUAAUACACCUGGAGAAGCUGUCACAGAAGAGAAAGCCGCGUCUUCCUCCUACCAGCAAAAAUAGCAUUCUGCAUCAAAGAAAGUUGAGGGAGGAAAGUGUUGCUCUAUGAAGAGACCUCACCUCACAUAGUCCGUGCGCUUACACGCUGGAGCUAAAGGGGAGCGGAGCCAGAGGCGGAUUCCCUGCCCCACACUAGGGCGGUGGGCAACAGCACGGAGUGAUUGAUGCCAGCCGGGCCGCUUGGCUUGAGCUGGCUUCCCAGCGUUUGACCGCCUGUUCCUGCCAGUGGGAGCAUCUCCUGCCCCGGCUCAGGCCGCCUUUCCACUCCUGCCUACCUAGCGCCAGGGGCUGUGACGGCUCCGCAGGACACGCUCCAACCGAUGCCCGGGGGAGAGUAGAAUCCUGGCUGAGUCAUUUCGGAAGAGUCUUUGAACCUCAGUUUCCCCAUUGGGUUUCCUCCCUAAGUGACAAGGAUUCCAUUCCACGCCAACUCUAGUUUUUCAAGGAAACAAAACCAUUGGCUUCACUUGAAGAUGAUACUCUGUUGGAAAGAGACUCCCUUCUUUCCCAGAGAUCCCCGCACAGCAGAGGCUAAGGUUGGAAGAUCUGGGAAGAUCUAGGAAGAUAAUCACCCAGCUGGGGACUGCUGCAACACCUCACAGAGGCCUGGAGGAGUGAGGCUUUGCUGGUGCAGGGCUGCUAGGAUCUGCCAGCGCAGGAUCAUGGCAUGCGAUAUCACACCCCACUGUGAUAACUGAUUGCUUUCCACGAUUAGGCUCACCCGUUUUACAGAUUUUUCAACACUGUUGCACUACCACAGGGUAUGGAUCAUGAAUCUGUACAACCAUUGGAUGGCUACACAGAGGAGUCUGGUCUGUUAUUGAUCCAGUUUUCCUAAGCAGAAACAGGGUUUCAUCCUAGCCACAUUAAGAUGCAAUUCAGUCUAAUUCACUAAAUAAUAUCAAAUACCAAAAUGUGCACUACCAAGUGCAAAAGCCACCAGGGCCUGCUUAGCUUUAAAUGCUAGCACUUAACCCGCGUGUUCACUCUGUUCAACCUUCCUCUGACUCCUUAAAACAGGUCUCAGCAGUAAACACAGGAGCUUAUUUUCACUGCCCUUUACUUAGAAAUACUUGAGUUUUCUUCCUAGAUGUCCUGAGAGCUGAAAUAACUAAAAGCAAAUUUUAUUGUCAUAUGUGUAUGGAUAUAUAUAUAUAUCGUAUGAUUUUAAAAUGUAGAAACAAAUGCACAAGAGGAUGGAAACAAAGAACUAUGCAAUGCUGUGGAGAUUAUGAGUGCUAUAUUGUUUAAUUUUUCAAGUUAUCUUUUAACAUUUUUUUUGCAAUAAAAAAUAACAUUUGACAAGCCAGUCAACAUUUCAUUUAGCAUGGAGGGGAAAGGGGCUCUCCAACCCUUCCUUGCCUUAACUGAGACGCCAUUGAAUUAUGGGAAA